ACACUUACUAGGUAGAAGAGGCACCAUGAUCAGGCAGAUGGUUUUCCCAGGGCUAGGUUCAUCCCCUGCACUGUAGGUGUUCUGACUCCUUAAUGACUCAAUGCCAUUAGAGUACAUUGUGC
rnacentral:snRNA from 1 species